GGUGCAACUGAGUGCACCAAACGUGGCUGUUAACCACGGGUAACCAGCCCAUCAAACUUUGCUGAAAAUGAUGAGGCUUUGGGGUGGCAGUUUAGGCUGCUGGUGGUUGGAAAACUGCUCUAAUCGGGCUCCCAGGCUGAGUAGCUGUCACAUAUGAUCCUGUGGGGUUUGUGCCAAUUGGUGUAAGUUAUGGAAAUGUUUCAUCUUCUGAUAUUUGCUGCUGGGAUGCUGAAAGGAUUCCGAGCACCUGCUGGUGCUGUAGAAUCACCUCUGCAAGGGUAACCAGAGAGGUUUCUCCUUGAGUUUACAGUGUCUCAAAUACAGUGAAAAUGAUGCUGUGCCAUGAAUGUCUUUAUAGCCCAAAACUGAGGUACUUCAUGGCAGCCAAGGCAGCAGAAGCACUUGGGACAAUGGGAAAUUUCAACCUGUCAAGUAACUGAGAAGGAGACAUCUACAGAGCCAGUCCUGCUCCCUCACCAGGAGACUUGCAGCAGCCUUGCUUAUCCCUGAGAGAUGCCAAGGUCUUAAUAGGGAUGGGGGGUAAGGAGUGCUUCUUUCCCACUGCAGAUCUUCCUCAUGGAGUCUCCUGGAAAGAGCUGCCAGAGUCUUUUAGAGGCAUCUCAACAGCAUCUACACUCUGAAGACAUCUGCUGAAAGUGAUGUAGGUACCCAAAUCAGUUUGGGCUAGCCUGGCAUUUCUCCCAGUGUUCUGACUCAAAGAUGAAAUGUGUUGCUAUCGUUUGCAAGAUGUUCACAAAGCAACUCUGUACAAAAGGAGACUGUACAGCGUGCCACCAUUUGAAAUCUCUUUACAAUGUUUUUCCUUUAAAAAAACAAACCUUGGCAGCUACCAUCUACUCUUUUCUGAUUUGCAGCCAGCCAAUUAUAUCACUUAGAAUGCACUCAGUUAACAAGGAUGCAAGUUCAAGGCACUGCCUUUGUGUAGUUCUAGCUGUGCCUUAGGAAAAACUUACUUUUGUUUUCCCUUAUGUGUGUUUAUUUCCUCCACUGUUUUCAUUAAUCCCUCCUACAUGCAAUAGUUCCCUUGCAAACAUUAUUUUAGCAGUGACCUCAGAGUGUUCUGAACGCCUUCUAAAAGUCAGAUAUUAAAAGAAUUCAGUUGCCUCAAUCUCUUAGUGUGACCUUCAGUCAUGAGAAUAGCUCUGGUGGUUUGAGUGGGAGAAUCCUCAAGAGUGAAAAUUGCUCCAGUGAAUCUGGGCCUGACAAACCAUAUUCUGUUUUUGUGGAUUACCAGAUGGAAGAGCUGCUGUAAGGUCUGCAAUCAGAAGGGCAGACAUGCUGGCUGUGGAGGGGAUGGGAACAAUAGGAUGGCCUUCGGCAUGGUCUAACCAUCCAAGCACAACCCAGUGACCUUGCUGAGCAUUUAUGAUGCACUGAGCCCAAGCAGCAGCCUGGCUCCUUUGUUCUCAAACCAUAACUGCUCUGUCUGGUGGGGUGUGUCACCCUCUAAAGCUCAGAAAAGAGGAGGCUCUCUGGGAUUUAGGUGGCUCUGCCCAUAAAUACAUGCAGAAACACACAAGCAUCUCCUGAACUGUUUUAGAAUUGAUGCCUGACAGAGUUAGUCACAAUGUUUACAGAAACUAGGCUGUGGUUCAAGAUUGUGAUGCAAAUAUCACAGUUUCAGGGUGGCUCUAGAUGAAAGACUUUCCCACUAUAAUGUUUUUUCUCUCGGUGAAGACAUAAUAGUGAUAAAUUUCUUAUGGCACAGACAUUUUUUUACUUAAUAAAGUGAAUGCCACAAAGCACGAGUUUGGAGCUUUAUUUUCCUGUAGUUUCAGUAAAAGCAAGAUCAUAGAUUGUGAAGAACAAAGCACAGAUACUAGUAGUGACUGCUAACAAAAUUUAGGGAAACAGUGAAAGUUUCAAUUUAGUAUUAAUCAAUAUGAUUUACUGAAUCAAGGGGUUUAAGAUUUUGCA